GACGAACGCUGGCGGCGUGCUUAACACAUGCAAGUCGAGCAGUAAGGCCCUUUCGGGGGUACACGAGCGGCGAACGGGUGAGUAACACGUGGGUGACCUGCCCUCAGCUCUGGGAUAAGCCUGGGAAACCGGGUCUAAUACCGGAUAUGACUCCAUGACGCAUGUUGUGGGGUGGAAAGCCUUGUGCGGCUGAGGAUGGGCCCGCGGCCUAUCAGCUUGUUGGUGGGGUGANGGCCUACCAAGGCGACGACGGGUAGCCGGCCUGAGAGGGCGACCGGCCACACUGGGACUGAGACACGGCCCAGACUCCUACGGGAGGCAGCAGUGGGGAAUCUUGCGCAAUGGGCGAAAGCCUGACGCAGCGACGCCGCGUGAGGGAUGACGG
rnacentral:rRNA from 1 species